GCCAGUGUGGUAUAGUGGUUUGAGCACUGGACUAUAACUCUGGACAAUAGGGUUCAAACUCCUGCUUGGCC